GACGAACGCUGGCGGCGUGCCUAAUACAUGCAAGUAGAACGCUGAAGGAGGAGCUUGCUUCUCUGGAUGAGUUGCGAACGGGUGAGUAACGCGUAGGUAACCUGCCUGGUAGCGGGGGAUAACUAUUGGAAACGAUAGCUAAUACCGCAUAACAGUAGAUAUCGCAUGAUAUCUACUUGAAAGGUGCAAUUGCAUCACUACCAGAUGGACCUGCGUUGUAUUAGCUAGUUGGUGAGGUAACGGCUCACCAAGGCGACGAUACAUAGCCGACCUGAGAGGGGGAUCGGCCACACUGGGACUGAGACACGGCCCAGACUCCUACGGGAGGCAGCAGUAGGGAAUCUUCGGCAAUGGACGGAAGUCUGACCGAGCAACGCCGCGUGAGUGAAGAAGGGUUUCGGAUCGUAAAGCUCUGUUGUAAGAGAAGAACGAGUGUGAGAGUGGAAAGUUCACACUGUGACGGUAUCUUACCAGAAAGGGACGGCUAACUACGUG
rnacentral:rRNA from 1 species